UACGUAGGUGGCAAGCGUUGUCCGGAAUUAUUGGGCGUAAAGCGCGCGCAGGCGGUUUCUUAAGUCUGAUGUGAAAGCCCCCGGCUCAAUCGGGGAGGGUCAUUGGAAACUGGGAAACUUGAGUGCAGAAGAGGAAAGUGGAAUUCCAAGUGUAGCGGUGAAAUGCGUAGAGAUUUGGAGGAACACCAGUGGCGAAGGCGACUUUCUGGUCUGUAACUGACGCUGAGGCGCGAAAGCGUGGGGAGCAAACAGG
rnacentral:rRNA from 1 species